rnacentral:rRNA from 1 species
GGGGAAUUUUGGACAAUGGGCGCAAGCCUGAUCCAGCCAUGCCGCGUGAGUGAAGAAGGCCUUCGGGUUGUAAAGCUCUUUCGCAAGGGAAGAAAACGUGUGGGCUAAUAUCCUGCGCGGAUGACGGUACCUUGACAAGAAGCACCGGCUAACUACGUGCCAGCAGCCGCGGUAAUACGUAGGGUGCGAGCGUUAAUCGGAAUUACUGGGCGUAAAGCGUGCGCAGGCGGUUGUGUAAGACAGGUGUGAAAUCCCCGGGCUUAACCUGGGAACUGCGCUGGUGACUGCACGGCUAGAGUCCGGCAGAGGGGGGUGGAUUUCCUGGUGUAGCGGUGAAAUGCGUAGUUAUAGGGGGGAACACCGAUGGCGAAGUCAGCCCCCUGGGCGUGUACUGACGCUAGUGCAGGAAAGCGUGGGGAGCAAACA